CAGAGGAACCACAACGGCCAUGCGGAAGCCACCCAAGAGCGAUCCAAUGUCUCAUCUCUGCCCUCAAUCAUGGCCUCCGCUGAUGCCAAAGUAAACCCAUUCAGCUUCAGGAGGCUUUUCAGCAAACAAAGCAUAAUUUGUAUGACGGAUCUGUGUGUUACAGUAGAGGAUCACAGGCAUUUGAAAUGACACAACUGGAAGCUAAAUCCAACAGCAGGGGAGACCCUUACCAAGGCAAGCCCCUGUCGUCUAAACUACUCAGACUUCAUCUGUCAGCUCAAGCAUCACAUCCAAGUAUGAAGCUUUGCACAAGCUCUCGGGAACUAUUUCCUCCUUCAACUGUUACCAUAGCACCUUGGACAGAGCAGUUUACCCAUCAGCCUCUACCACUGGACUGGAAGUCCCCCAAAGGCAGAAACCACCUCUCUACAUCCAUAUGAUGUGGGUAUGGUUCCUACCACACAGAUACUU
rnacentral:lncRNA from 1 species